rnacentral:rRNA from 1 species
GACGAACGCUGGCGGCGUGCUUAACACAUGCAAGUCGAACGGAAAGGCCCUGCUUUUGCGGGGCGCUUGAGUGGCGAACGGGUGAGUAACACGUGAGUAACCUGCCCCUGACUUUGGGAUAACUUCAGGAAACUGGGGCUAAUAUCGGAUAGGAGCUCCUGCUGCAUGGUGGGGGUUGGAAAGUUUCGGCGGUUGGGGAUAGACUCGCGGCUUACCAGCUUGUUGGGGGGGUAGUGGCUUACCAAGGCUUUGACGGGUAGCCGGCCUGGGAGGGUGACCGGCCACAUUAGGACUGAGAUACGGACCAGACUCCUACUGGAGGCAACGGUGGAGAGUAUUUCACAGUAGACGGGAGCCUGAUACAACGACGCCGCGUGCGGGAUAACGGCCUUCGAGUUGUGAACCGCUUUCGCCUGUGACGAGGCGUGAGUGACGGUAAUGGAUAAAGAAGCACCGGCUAACUACGUG